UACGUAGGCAGCAAACGUUGUUCGGAAUUACUGGGCGUAAAGAGUGUGUAGGCGGUUUUGUAAGUUUGGUGUGAAAUCUCCCGGCUUAACUGGGAGGGUGCGCCGAAAACUGCAAGGCUUGAGUACUGGAGAGGAGAGCGGAAUUCCUGGUGUAGCGGUGAAAUGCGUAGAUAUCAGGAGGAACACCGGUGGUGUAGACGGCUCUCUGGACAGUCACUGACGCUGAGACACGAAAGCGUGGGGAGCAAACAGG
rnacentral:rRNA from 1 species